CGGUUAAGUUAGAAAGGGCGCACGGUGGAUGCCUUGGCACUAGGAGCCGAUGAAGGACGGGACGAACACCGAUAUGCUUCGGGGAGCUGUAAGCAAGCUUUGAUCCGGAGAUUUCCGAAUGGGGAAACCCACCACUCGUAAUGGAGUGGUAUCCAUAUCUGAAUUCAUAGGAUAUGAGAAGGCAGACCCGGGGAACUGAAACAUCUAAGUACCCGGAGGAAGAGAAAGCAAAUGCGAUUCCCUGAGUAGCGGCGAGCGAAACGGGAUUAGCCCAAACCAAGAGGCUUGCCUCUUGGGGUUGUAGGACACUCUGUACGGAGUUACAAAAGAACGAGGUAGAUGAAGAGGUCUGGAAAGGCCCGCCAUAGGAGGUAACAGCCCUGUAGUCAAAACUUCGUUCUCUCCUGAGUGGAUCCUGAGUACGG
rnacentral:rRNA from 1 species